CCUCUUCUUCAUAGCCACUUUGUCCUCUUUCUUCUCAGAAUUAGGAAUUGCCCCAGGUUCAUUACAAUCUGUCAGACAGAUGAUUGUCUUCCUCAUUUGCUUGGAUCAUAAGGAGAGGGAAAGAUCAAAGAAGAGUAAUAGAAGAGUCUGGAGUCGACACAAGAGCGCAACAAUGCCGCAAAUAGUAUCAGUUUUCACCCUAAAAUUCUCUUCCUCCUUUGCUUUCAUCAUAAGGAGAGUGGUAGAAGGGUGUGGAGUCGACACAAGUGCGCAAUAACACUGCAAACAAUAUCAGGACGGUGGACUGGGUUGGUAAUGACACGGCGUGCGAUCAAGCUAUACCAUCUCACGUAUUCUUCUAACCAUGUUUGGUCAUUAUCAUCAUCAGCCACCGCAUUCACAACAUUUUCUUCUCGGCUUUCCCAUUCUAACAAGUACUUCAUGUGCCUAGUGCUCCAGUCUAUGCCCUUUUUCCCUCUUCCAUCAAUUUUGUGCAAGUCUAGUACUCCAGUGUCAAAGUUGGCUGGGGGCGGCUGCUUGAAUUUCCCAAAUUGGCGGAGAACUCUGUCUGGUAAGUGCCACUCUACAAUCUCAUACAUGAUCAUAGGAGACUUCGUCAUCCAGACGUGCUUCCCUGCUUUGCAAUAACCUGGUGUUUAGAAGACAGACGAACUGUGAGCAAAUGUGGCAUUGACCUCGACAAUAAAUACGUGGUUCUUCACAAUCGUUAUUUGUUGUUGAAGUAUAAACCGCACAUUAAUGUAGAGUGGUGUAAUCAAUCACGAUCAAUAAAGUACUUACUCAAGUAUGUAAAUAAGAGAAAUGAUAGAGUUCCCAAUAUUUUCAUAAUUGAUGAGAUCAACAUUUACUAUGA